rnacentral:rRNA from 1 species
UACGGAGGGAGCUAGCGUUGUUCGGAAUUACUGGGCGUAAAGUGUGCGCAGGCGGCCGCGCAAGUCGAGUGUGAAAGCCCCGGGCUUAACUUGGGAAUUGCGCUUGAAACUAGCGGGCUUGAGUGUGGCAGAGGGGGGUGGAAUUCCACGUGUAGCAGUGAAAUGCGUAGAGAUGUGGAGGAACACCGAUGGCGAAGGCAGCCCCCUGGGUCAACACUGACGCUCAUGCACGAAAGCGUGGGGAGCAAACAGG